rnacentral:rRNA from 1 species
AUUGAACGCUGGCGGCAUGCUUUACACAUGCAAGUCGGACGAGUGGCGAACGGGUGAGUAACAUAUCGGAACGUACCGAGUAAUGGGGGAUAACUAAUCGAAAGAUUAGCUAAUACCGCAUAUUAUUCGAGCGGCCGAUAUCUGAUUUGCUGGUUGGUGGGGUAAAGGCCUACCAAGGCGACGAUCAGUAGCGGGUCUGAGAGGAUGAUCCGCCACACUGGGGAUGAGAAACGGCCCAGACCCCGACGGGAGGCAGCAGGGGGGAAUUUUGGACAAUGAGCGCAAGCCUGAGCCAGCCAUGCCGCGUGUCUGAAGAAGGCCUGCGGGUUGUAAAGGACUUUUGUCAGGGAAGCGGUACCUGAAGAAUAAGCACCGGCUAACGACGUGCCAGCAGCCGCGGUAAUAC